rnacentral:rRNA from 1 species
GAUGAACGCUGGCGGCGUGCCUAAUACAUGCAAGUCGAGCGAACGGACGAGAAGCUUGCUUCUCUGAUGUUAGCGGCGGACGGGUGAGUAACACGUGGAUAACCUACCUAUAAGACUGGGAUAACUUCGGGAAACCGGAGCUAAUACCGGAUAAUAUUUUGAACCGCAUGGGUCAAAAGUAAAAGACGGUCUUGCUGUCACUUAUAGAUGGAUCCGCGCUGCAUUAGCUAGUUGGUAAGGUAACGGCUUACCAAGGCAACGAUGCAUAGCCGACCUGAGAGGGUGAUCGGCCACACUGGAACUGAGACACGGUCCAGACUCCUACGGGAGGCCGCAGUCGGGAAUCUUCCGCAAUGGGCGAAAGCCUGACGGAGCACCGCCGCGUGAGUGAUGAAGCUCUUCGGAUCGUAGAGCUCUGUUAUUAGGGAAGAACAUAUGUGUAAGUAACUGUGCACAUCUUGACGGUACCUAAUCAGAAAGCCACGGCUAACUACGUG